UCGCCGCGUGUGGGGAGGGCUGGUGGAAGCGAUGCAGGGACGCCGAGGAAACUUCAACUCACAACAUCACUGUCAUCAUCCGACUCAUCUUCAGAACUGUCCUCAUCGCUGCUGCUCUCUUGCUUGACCGUCUUCGAACCAUUUUUGCAACUGCAGCCAAGGGUUUAGCAGCAGGCUUCUUUGCAGGUUCCUUAAUGAGAAGAUGAAUUGGCAUCUAAAAACUCUGAAAACUACAUUAACAAUUCAAUUUGCUGGUUGCUGAUUUUUUCAGCAUUAAAACCCAAAAAUGAUAACAUACCUCAUCAGAUUCAGAGGUCUCAUCGCUAGUGUCAUCAUCACUGGACUCUUGUUUAGCAAUCUUGGGAGC
rnacentral:lncRNA from 1 species